rnacentral:rRNA from 1 species
AACGAACGCUGGCGGCAUGCCUAACACAUGCAAGUCGAACGAGACCUUCGGGUCUAGUGGCGCACGGGUGCGUAACGCGUGGGAACCUGCCCUUAGGUUCGGAAUAACUCCCCGAAAGGGGUGCUAAUACCGGAUAAUGUCUUCGGACCAAAGAUUUAUCGCCUUUGGAUGGGCCCGCGUUGGAUUCGCUAGUUGGUAGGGUAAAAGCCUACCAAGGCGACGAUCCAUAGCUGGUCUGAGAGGAUGAUCAGCCACACUGGGACUGAGACACGGCCCAGACUCCUACGGGAGGCAGCAGUGGGGAAUAUUGGACAAUGGGCGAAAGCCUGAUCAAGCAAUGCCGCGUGAGUGAUGAAGGCCGUAGGGUUGUAAAGCUCUUUUACCCGGGAUGAUAAUGACAGUACCGGGAGAAUAAGCUCCGGCUAACUCCGUG